UUCCUGUUUGAGUCAGACGCAACAUGGAUGCUAAUGGCAGCGCUCGGUCGUUAUUGCUCUCCUGUUUCAUGAUUCCUCAGAAACAACAGCAACAAUAAGAAGCAUCUUUAAAUCCUGAGUCCUGAUUGGCCCUGAAGGUGGAAGAGCGGCGUUGGAGCGACGCGUCCUGCAGCUCGGCGCCUCGGGUCCAGAUGUGGCCCAGAUGUUAAACUGACGAAUGCUGUUAGUUUGAAGGAGGCCGAGGAACAGACGGCUCUGAUGUCGCAGUGGGAGGUUCCAGCAGAACCCAAACGGGUCCGGAUCCACCUGGACGGUCCCACACAUCCAUCAGCAGGAACCUGGAAGAGAGGAACAUGGAGGCUGCAGGGUGUUAGCACGACGCCAGGACAGACAGGGUCAAAGGUCACCUCAAGACGACUCAAAGUUCUUAUCCUUAAGAUAAUAAUCAAAUAAUUUAAAAAAUAAA